ensembl:lncRNA
GCAGGGGGAAUCCACGCGGCAGGGAGGAGACCGGAAGUGAGGCUUGGCAGGCAGCCACAGAGCAGAGCAGGAGGAGCAGCGAGAGGAGGCCGGGAGCGGAGUGUAUCGCUUUCCCUGUUCCUGAAAGGUCCUCUCUGGCCAAGUAGAGGGAGAGGAGCGCUUCUGAGGAAGCCAUCAUUGAAGAGAGUGAAAAGGUCACGAUUACGUGGACACCUCCGGGUUCACUGGCCCCACUUCUGCGCCCCUUCUCCAGGCGCCGACACCUCGCCGUCCUGGAGCCCUCGUUCUCGGAACCGGAACCGGAACUGGAUCACAGUGGGCAGCACAGCCACAGCGCCCAGAGCACCAGUCCUUGAGAGUUCAGACGCCCAAUUAGUGUCCUUAUAAAAUGGUGUCAGGGAACCUUCUCUAAAAUCCCGUAUAUCACCCUUAGGACACUGAAGUAUCCGUACGCCGAAUCAUCCAUCUUCCUGCAGAUCUCCUCUCCUCCCACUUACUUGGGCCUAAAGCGGCUGCUUGCAGUGAGAGAAGAGAAGCAGGAUCUUCCUUCCCUCGUUCUUGCUCUGCUCCUUCUCUUCUACAAGUUUGGCCGUUCCGUGGGCUCCUCGUAAAUUGCCUUCACUGGAAAAUUCCGAUUCUGCCCCACUGACAGCUGUGGCACCGGGCAGAAGCUACUUUUCUCCUAUGCAUCUGCAGUGUUUUCCUCCCAAGUCCAAGGAAGCUGAACACUGAAGAAGAAUUUCUGAGGCCAGAGCUGGAGAUCUUGUUCACCACCAUGAUGGUCCACUGGGCUUGGAAACCUCUUUCUAACCUCUAAUAUUGAAAAGUCUCUCUAAAUACUACAAACUACUUCCAAAACACUGAGAAAUAUUAGCUGUUGACAAGAAUCCUCUGUGUUUUAAUUUCAUAUUUCUAGCAAUUUCUGGAAUAUGAAGAUUCAUAGAUAGCUCUAAAGUUUGACUACUGAUCAAUAGUCGGUGUAAGCCUAUUCAUUAAGCCUUAAUUUCAGGAAAGUCAAGCACAUGCUUUUACUCCACAGUAG